AGCUGCCCUGCUCCCCCCCCCCCAACGCAGCUGCCCUGCUCCCCCGCUCCCCCGCCGCAGCUGCCUCCUGCUCCGCCACCGCAGCUGCCGCUCGCCUGCCUCCCCAAGCUUCCCCCUUCCUCAAAAAAACCUUCGAUUUCCCCAGCUACCGCCGUGCUCUGCUCCGGCUGCGUCGGAACCGGCAUCGGCGAGCCCGGAGGCACUGGAUCCGGACCACCACCAACAACCUAAAGGGCGACGAGGCCGACAAGCCCGACGACGACAGGAGAUGCAGCAAGCUAAACGCCGACGAGCCCAACGACGACGGCAAGCUAAAGGCCGUCGAUUUGCGAGCCUGGAAGACGACGACGAUAGCUCCACAAGGAAUACGAUCGCGGCGGCGUCUUCUUUGCUGUUUCUCUGGUGGAAGACCCGUGCCUGCGACACCGCGGCUGGGCUGUCCACGGCACAAGUGGGUCGCGCCUGCUCACUUGGCAGCAGCGGUGGCGGCUACAUGUUUUCUCCACUACUGCAGAUCAUCUCCAGGUCCUACUGCCUGGGUCUGAACCUCUCUUCUCUACUCUAUGUUUACUGAAUUUACUCCAUGUUUACUGAAUUUUCUCCACUACUCUAUGUUUACUGAACCACUAGUUUCUGAACCACUUCACUGAAUGUGAGAUGUACCACUGAAUUUCACUUCUGCUAGUACUCCAAGAAGACUAUGCCAACGGCAACCAAGUGGGCUUUGUUGAGUUCGUGCAAUGUUCCAAUUGAGGGAGGAGGUGGUAGACUGUUUGCAGAUGUGGUUGUCUUGAUGAGAUUCAGUUUGAUCAGACCAUCCCAAUGUCACUUUGCAAUUGUUCUGCUUCUUUUCUGAGCAUGGAGCUGACAGUUAUCUGGGAUGAUUGCAUUGCAACUGCCAUUUCCUGUGGAUAGCUUGUACGCCGACCCCGAGCGCAAGGCUUAGGAUGUCUUGGGCCUGUACCAUGGAUUAGGCCGCACACUCUUCAGUCCAGCCAGUAGAGAAAUAAUUCAGGAGGUGAAGACCAGGAGUUUUGUGACCCUCCAUUUAAAACAGGGCAAGCCACUUCAUCCACUUGCUUGAUGGCAAUUGCAAGGCCAUGGCUUCCAACUUGCAGAUUCACGCCGCUGGAUGACUUGCUCGGAGCAUCGGCGACUCCGCGGGCACCUCAACAAACUGCCCUUGUACCCAAUGGCACCGCAAAUCCAGUUGUCCCUUUGUCCCAUGGUUGUCCAAAACCUGAUGAUGGUUUUAACCAGCUAACCGGGUGAUACUGGACAAUUUUGAAAGUUUUAACAUGUUUCACAUAGUGCAGAGGAGUAGCAGCAAUAGCAGCACGGGCAGGAUCAGAGGAGAAGCAGCACGGGCAGGGUCAGAGGAGGAGCAGCAGCACGGGCGGGGGAGAAGGAGCAGCAGCAGCAGCACGGGCAGAUCUCCACCGGCGAGCUCCUGGUCCACCGGAUUGUGGAGGCAAGUUCCCGUGACGCCAGUAGGGGAUCGCGGCGGCGCACACGCGGGAGCUCCAGGAGAAUGCGCGGGAGCACGAGGGUGGACGCACACGAGCUUGAGGAGGAUGCGCGGGGGCUCCAAGAGGGAAGCGCGCGGCCUCGAGGAAGACGUGGCAGGAGAUUCCGGCGAAGCCCGCAGGCAGCAGGAGGAGACCACGGCGGCGCAGGUCUGGGCUGCGGCGGCAGAGGAGGUAAUUGGCGAAGGCGGCGAGAGCAGGUACUUGGCUACGGAGGAGGAGCUCAGCUGGGCUCGCCGGCCCCUGGCGAAUCACGCAGCUGGGCGGCGCCGGCCCCUGGCGAUGGGCAGGCGACGGGCAGAGGAAGAAGACGGGGCGGAGGGACUUGUUUGAAACGCUUUUGAAACCACGAGGUUUUUUUUGCAAAAUUACCAAUGAACUACGCCCACGACAUGUUUUUCGGGAUGGAGGGAGUAGUAGUUAUCUAAACGCUCUUAUAUUUCUUUACGAAGGGAGUACCAUAUCCCACGAUUGAUUGUAAAAAUACAUGGAACUGAAAUAUUUGCAUUCUGGU